UUGUGGCUAUAACACAUUGAAACACCGGUUCUUAUACGAUCACAGAAGUUAAGCAACGACGAGCCUGCUCAGUACCUAGAUGUGUGAUAAUUUGGAAAUACCAGGUGCU